rnacentral:rRNA from 1 species
AGUGAACGCUGGCGGUAGGCCUAACACAUGCAAGUCGAACGGCAGCACAGUAAGAGCUUGCUCUUACGGGUGGCGAGUGGCGGACGGGUGAGGAAUACAUCGGAAUCUACUUUUUCGUGGGGGAUAACGUAGGGGAACUUACGCUAAUACCGCAUACGACCUACGGGUGAAAGCAGGGGAUCUUCGGACCUUGCGCGAUUGAAUGAGCCGAUGUCGGAUUAGCUGGUUGGCGGGGUAAAGGCCCACCAAGGCGACGAUCCGUAGCUGGUCUGAGAGGAUGAUCAGUCACACUAGAACUGAGACACGGUCCAGACUCCUGCGGGACGGAGCAGUGGGGAAUAGUGGACAAUGGGCGCAAGCCUGAUCCAGCCAUACCGCGUGUGUGAAGGAGGCCUUCGGGUUGUAAAGCCCUUUUGUUGGGAAAGAAAAGCAGCAGGUUAAUACCCCGCUGUUCUGACGGUACCCAAAGAAUAAGCACCGGCUAACUUCGUG